GACGAACGCUGGCGGCGUGCUUAACACAUGCAAGUCGAACGGAAAGGCCCUGCUUUUGUGGGGUGCUCGAGUGGCGAACGGGUGAGUAACACGUGAGUAACCUGCCCUUGACUUUGGGAUAACUUCAGGAAACUGGGGCUAAUACCGGAUAGGAGCUCCUGCUGCAUGGUGGGGGUUGGAAAGUUUCGGCGGUUGGGGAUGGACUCGCGGCUUAUCAGCUUGUUGGUGGGGUAGUGGCUUACCAAGGCUUUGACGGGUAGCCGGCCUGAGAGGGUGACCGGCCACAUUGGGACUGAGAUACGGCCCAGACUCCUACGGGGGGCAGCAGUGGGGAAUAUUGCACAAUGGGCGGAAGCCUGAUGCAGCAACGCCGCGUGCGGGAUGACGGCCUUCGGGUUGUAAAACGCUUUCGCCUGUGACGAAGCGUGAGUGACGGUAAUGGGUAAAGAAGCACCGGCUAACUACGUG
rnacentral:rRNA from 1 species